UGAGGAAUAUUGGUCAAUGGGCGAGAGCCUGAACCAGCCAAGUAGCGUGAAGGAUGAAGGUCCUACGGAUUGUAAACUUCUUUUAUACGGGAAUAAAGUUUCCUACGUGUAGGAUUUUGUCUGUACCGUAUGAAUAAGCAUCGGCUAACUCCGUGCCAGCAGCCGCGGUAAUACGGAGGAUGCGAGCGUUAUCCGGAUUUAUUGGGUUUAAAGGGAGCGCAGACGGGUCGUUAAGUCAGCUGUGAAAGUUUGGGGCUCAACCUUAAAAUUGCAGUUGAUACUGGCGUCCUUGAGUGCGGUUGAGGUGUGCGGAAUUCGUGGUGUAGCGGUGAAAUGCUUAGAUAUCACGAAGAACUCCGAUUGCGAAGGCAGCACACUAAGCCGUAACUGACGUUCAUGCUCGAAAGUGUGGGUAUCAAACAGGAUUAGAUACCCUGGUAGUCCACACGGUAAACGAUGGAUACUCGCUGUUGGCGAUAUACUGUCAGCGGCUUAGCGAAAGCGUUAAGUAUCCCACCUGGGGAGUACGCCGGCAACGGUGAAACUCAAAGGAAUUGACGGGGGCCCGCACAAGCGGAGGAACAUGUGGUUUAAUUCGAUGAUACGCGAGGAACCUUACCCGGGCUUAAAUUGCAAAGGAAUAAUCUGGAAACAGAUUAGUCUUCGGACCUUUGUGAAGGUGCUGCAUGGUUGUCGUCAGCUCGUGCCGUGAGGUGUCGGCUUAAGUGCCAUAACGAGCGCAACCCUCGCCGCCAGUUACUAACAGUUAAAGCUGAGGACUCUGGCGGGACUGCCAUCGUAAGAUGUGAGGAAGGUGGGGAUGACGUCAAAUCAGCACGGCCCUUACGUCCGGGGCUACACACGUGUUACAAUGGGCGGUACAGAAGGCAGCUACCUGGCGACAGGAUGCCAAUCCCUAAAGCCGCUCUCAGUUCGGACUGGAGUCUGCAACCCGACUCCACGAAGCUGGAUUCGCUAGUAAUCGCGCAUCAGCCACGGCGCGGUGAAUACGUUCCC
rnacentral:rRNA from 1 species